rnacentral:rRNA from 1 species
UACGUAGGGGGCAAGCGUUGUCCGGAAUCAUUGGGCGUAAAGCGCGUGUAGGCGGUCCGAUAAGUUCGCUGUGAAAGUCGGGGGCUUAACCCUCGGAUGCCGGUGAAUACUGUCGGGCUUGAGUACGGAAGAGGCGAGUGGAAUUCCUGGUGUAGCGGUGAAAUGCGCAGAUAUCAGGAGGAACACCAAUUGCGAAGGCAGCUCGCUGGAACGUAACUGACGCUGAGACGCGAAAGCGUGGGGAGCAAACAGG